GAUGAACGCUAGCGAUAGGCUUAACACAUGCAAGUCGAGGGGCAGCAUAAUUUUAGCUUGCUAAGAUUGAUGGCGACCGGCGCACGGGUGCGUAACGCGUAUGCAACUUACCUUAUAGAGGGGGAUAGCCCGUUUAACGACGGAUUAAUACCGCAUAUACAAGCAGUUCGGCAUCGAACAACUUGGAAAUGAAUUUCGCUAUAAGAUAGGCAUGCGUCCCAUUAGCUCGUUGGUGAGGUAACGGCUCACCAAGGCAACGAUGGGUAGGGGAACUGAGAGGUUGAUCCCCCACACUGGUACUGAGACACGGACCAGACUCCUACGGGAGGCAGCAGUGAGGAAUAUUGGUCAAUGGACGCAAGUCUGAACCAGCCAAAUCGCGUGAAGGAUGACUGUCUUAUGGAUUGUAAACUUCUUUUAUACGGGAAUAAUCACAGAUACGUGUAUCUGUUUGAAUGUACCGUACGAAUAAGCAUCGGCUAACUCCGUGCCAGCAGCCGCGGUAAUACGGAGGAUGCGAGCGUUAUCCGGAUUUAUUGGGUUUAAAGGGUGCGUAGGUGGUUUGAUAAGUCAGCGGUGAAAUCUCCGAGCUCAACUCGGACACUGCCGUUGAAACUGUCGAACUUGAGUGUAGAUGAGGUAGGCGGAAUGCGUGGUGUAGCGGUGAAAUGCAUAGAUAUCACGCAGAACUCCGAUUGCGAAGGCAGCUUACUAAGGUACAACUGACACUGAAGCACGAAAGCGUGGGUAUCAAACAGG
rnacentral:rRNA from 1 species